ACUUUCCUACGGGAGGCAGCAGUGAGGAAUAUUGGUCAAUGGGCGGGAGCCUGAACCAGCCAAGUCGCGUGAGGGAAGACGGUCCUAUGGAUUGUAAACCUCUUUAGGCGGGGAGCAAUGCCGGGCACGUGUGCCCGGAGGGAGAGUACCCGCAGAAUAAGCAUCGGCUAACUCCGCGCCAGCAGCCGCGGGAAUACGGAGGAUGCGAGGGUUAUCCGGACUUAUUGGGUUUAACGGGUGCGUAGGCGGAUUUUUAAGUCAGCGGCAAAAUGUCCGGGCUCAACCCGGGCCGGCCGUUGAAACUG
rnacentral:rRNA from 1 species